GAAACUCAGGCUAAUACCGCAUGAGCCCUUCGGGGGAAAGCAGGGGAUCUUCGGACCUUGCGCUAUUGGAUGAGCCUAUGUCUGAUUAGCUUGUUGGUGGGGUAACGGCCUACCAAGGCGACGAUCAGUAGCUGGUCUGAGAGGACGAUCAGCCACACUGGGACUGAGACACGGCCCAGACUCCUACGGGAGGCAGCAGUGGGGAAUAUUGGACAAUGGGCGCAAGCCUGAUCCAGCAAUGCCGCGUGUGUGAAGAAGGCCUGCGGGUUGUAAAGCACUUUCAGUGGGGAGGAAAAGCUCAAGGAUAAUACCCUUGGGUCUUGACGUUAUCCACAGAAGAAGCACCGGCUAACUCUGUGCCAGCAGCCGCGGUAAUACAGAGGGUGCAAGCGUUAAUCGGAAUUACUGGGCGUAAAGCGCGCGUAGGCGGUUUGUUAAGUCGGAUGUGAAAGCCCCGGGCUCAACCUGGGAACUGCAUUCGAUACUGGCAGGCUAGAGUAUGGUAGAGGGAAGUGGAAUUCCGGGUGUAGCGGUGAAAUGCGUAGAUAUCCGGAGGAACAUCAGUGGCGAAGGCGGCUUCCUGGAC
rnacentral:rRNA from 1 species